UUUUCAAGUUUACUAGAAUGACUGUUUCACAAUUCGAAAGACUAUCAGAAUUAGUGCAAGAGUCUCUGAUAAAAAGAAGUAUUCGAGAGCCUCUGUCGCCGGAACAUUGAUUAUGUAUUACUUUGUAUUAUCUUGCUCAUGGUUGCAGUAUGCAAACUGUUGCAUGGAACUUUUAUGUGUCAAAAUCAACUGUGAGCAAAGUUAUCCGUGACACUUGCAAGAUUAUAUGGGACAAGUUAUCGCCUAUAUGUUUGCCAAGACCUACUGCUGACGAUUUCAGAAGGUACUCACGAGAUUUCCAAGAGUUGCGGAAUAUGCCGAAUUGUUUCGGGGCAAUUGAUGGAAAGCACAUCGUUGUACAAGCUCCUUACAAUACUGGGAUCAGUUUCUUCAAUUAUAAAAAAAACAUUCAGCAUUGUGUUAAUGGCAGUUUGUGAUGCUAACUCAUUUUUACUCUUGUUGAUGUUGGUGCUUUUGAUGGUUCACAAAGUGACGGAGGAGUCUUUAAAGAAUCAGCUUUUGGAAUAGGUCUUGAUGACAACAAACUGGAAAUACCUGACGAUAGCUAGCAGCUUACCAGAAACCGACACAAAGUUUCCAUAUUAUAUGGUUGCAGAUGAAGCGUUUCCUUUGAAAAGCUAUAUUAUGCGACCAUAUCCUGGAACUAAAUUGGACAAGA